ACACCCCAUCCCCCACCCUCUCACGAAUUCGUAAAAAAAACUCUCUCUCUCUCUCUCGUGACCCUCAGCCCCACCCCCUCGGUCGACCUCCUCUCCCCCAUGAUCUCCUCGCCGCCGCCACCAACCACGCCGGCCGGUUCUGGCGAUCUCCGGCCGCGUGCAACAUGCCCCCAAGCUCCUCAAGCUCCGCCCCUCCCUCCCCCUCCGUCAGAUCCGCGCCUCAAGGCCUGCACCUUUGCCCAUAUCACCCUCGCCCACCUCCUCCUCCUGCUUCGUGCGCUGCAGCUUUCGCCCCCCGCGAAUGGCCUCCGCCCUCUCCGUGCUGGCGGGCUCCGCCGGCUCUGCUGCCCGGUGCAAGGCACGGGCCCGCUUCUCCACACCUGCCUGUCGGUGCUCCUUGUUUUUGUGAAGUGGAGGAUUCUGAAUCUUUUUUUUCUGUCGUGGGCGCAAGUGUUAUGAGGAGGUAGGCAGAAUGGGAGGGCCUGGUGCUGCUUCGGGGUAGCGAGGAAGGGGUGAUCGAGGUGGACUACCGCGGCCUAGUGGGCGUCGUGCUCUUCAACCACCUGGAGGCGGACUUCAUCGUGAAGCCCGACGAUCGCGCCACACAGAUGAUCAUCCAGGUCAUUGCGACGCCGGAGGUUGCCGAGGUGGAGGACCUCUACGCCACCGUUCGCCGGGAGGGACUGCUCGGAUCCACCGACGUUUCAACUCCGAAACUUGGUAGAUGCAUCUAGAGAAGUGGUCUAGUUGUUUGCAUCUGAUGUUAAAUGGGAUCUCGAGAUCUUGAGUUGAGAUGUUCAAUGUUGUAUCCAUGAAUGCUGCAAGUGCUAAGAUGGUUCUGUGAACUUAGUUUAUUUGCACUGGACGUC